UGGGGAAUUUUGGACAAUGGGCGCAAGCCUGAUCCAGCCAUGCCGCGUGAGUGAAGAAGGCCUUCGGGUUGUAAAGCUCUGUCGGAGGGAACGAAUGCUCUUGAGGUUAACAGCCUCGGGAGGUGACGGUACCCUCAAAGGAAGCACCGGCUAACUCUGUGCCAGCAGCCGCGGUAAUACAGAGGGUGCGAGCGUUAAUCGGAAUUACUGGGCGUAAAGCGCACGUAGGUGGCGACGUAAGUCGGGUGUGAAAGCCCCGGGCUCAACCUGGGAAUUGCAUUCGAGACUGCAUUGCUGGAGUACGGAAGAGGAGGGCGGAAUUCCCGGUGUAGCGGUGAAAUGCGUAGAUAUCGGGAGGAACAUCAGUGGCGAAGGCGGCCCUCUGGUCCAGUACUGACACUCAAGUGCGAAAGCGUGGGGAGCAAACAGGAUUAGAUACCCACGUAGCCCUGAGCGGGCUGGCAAGGCGCAU
rnacentral:rRNA from 1 species